ACGAACGCUGGCGGCGCGCCUAACACAUGCAAGUCGAACGAGUGAGAGGGAGCUUGCUCCCUCAAGCGAGUGGCGAACGGGUGAGUAACGCGUGAGGAACCUGCCCCAAAGAGGGGGACAACAGUUGGAAACGACUGCUAAUACCGCAUAAGCCCACGACCCGGCAUCGGGUUGAGGGAAAAGGAGCAAUCCGCUUUGAGAUGGCCUCGCGUCCGAUUAGCUAGUUGGUGAGGUAACGGCCCACCAAGGCGACGAUCGGUAGCCGGACUGAGGGGUUGAACGGCCACAUUGGGACUGAGACACGGCCCAGACUCCUACGGGAGGCAGCAGUGGGGAAUAUUGCACAAUGGGGGAAACCCUGAUGCAGCGACGCCGCGUGGAGGAAGAAGGUCUUCGGAUUGUAAACUCCUGUUGUUGAGGAAGAUAAUGACGGUACUCAACAAGGAAGUGACGGCUAACUACGUGCCAGCAGCCGCCGUAA
rnacentral:rRNA from 1 species